UACGUAGGAAGCGAGCGUUGUCCGGAUUUACUGGGCGUAAAGGGCGUGUAGGCGGAGCGGCGCAUCCUGGAGUAAAUCUAUCGGCUCAACUGAUAGGCUUUCUAGGAGAUGGCCGCCCUUGAGGACAGCAGAGGAAAGUGGAAUUCCCGGUGUAGCGGUGAAAUGCGUAGAGAUGUGGAGGAACACCAGUGGCGAAGGCGACUUUCUGGUCUAUAACUGACACUGAGGCGCGAAAGCGUGGGGAGCAAACAGG
rnacentral:rRNA from 1 species